rnacentral:rRNA from 1 species
AGUGAACGCUGGCGGUAGGCCUAACACAUGCAAGUCGAACGGCAGCACAGGAGAGCUUGCUCUCUGGGUGGCGAGUGGCGGACGGGUGAGGAAUACAUCGGAAUCUACUCUGUCGUGGGGGAUAACGUAGGGAAACUUACGCUCAUACCGCAUACGACCUACGGGUGAAAGCAGGGGAUCUUCGGACCUUGCGCGAUUGAAUGAGCCGAUGUCGGAUUAGCUAGUUGGCGGGGUAAAGGCCCACCAAGGCGACGAUCCGUAGCUGGUCUGAGAGAAUGAUCAGCCACACUGGAACUGAGACACGGUCCAGACUCCUACGGGAGGCAGCAGUGGGGAAUAUUGGACAAUGGGCGCAAGCCUGAUCCAGCCAUACCGCGUGGGUGAAGAAGGCCUUCGGGUUGUAAAGCCCUUUUGUUGGGAAAGAAAUCCAGCUGGCUAAUACCCGGUUGGGAUGACGGUACCCAAAGAAUAAGCACCGGCUAACUUCGUGCCAGCAGCCGCGGUAA